rnacentral:piRNA from 1 species
UGCAGAUGGCGUAUUCUGGACAUCCGGGA